GUACAAAGAAAUCAAAAUGUCUAAAAUUGAGAUGUUUAUAAUUUUCAUAUUUUUAUAAUUACAACAAAAGUUUCUUUGACGAGAUGGGACAAGCUUUAAUAUUUCUGGUAUACCAAUCAAAGGAGUUUUGUUGCCAUUUUUGAUAAACAUUUUAAGGAAAUUUAAUACUUGUUUAUGUAUUCAAUAAAUUUCCUCACCAUAUAUAUUGUGUUUUCCAAUAAAACAGUAUAUCACAAAUGUUUUAAAGCUGCAUAAUCCAGCACUAUUAAAUGACCAAACAAAUCCAUGUCUUAUGGAAUCUGUUUGAUUAAAUGGACCAUUGAAAAAAAAUAAACACACUGUAACAUCAAAUUAUACCUUGUUAUAACAAAACCAGCUGUAAUGCUGGCGACCUCAUUUCUUGUCAAUGUCACAUGGUAACUAUAUACAAUAAAAUAAAUAAAUAGUUUAACAAUAUUAACAGUUCUCUUCAACAUAAGAUCAUGUGCAUUUAAAUUGGGAAAGAUUUGUCAGAUGAACUUAAAACAGCUCAUUUUUUUGUACAUUUCUUGCAAUUAAGAGAUAAUGAAAUGUAGUGACUUACUUGUUCAAAUAGGAAGAUUGGGUUUAGUGUCAAGAGUUGAGCGAACCUUGAGCUACAACUAUACUUUCAACAAGCUAGUUAUACAUGUAUAUCUAGAUGUUCACUUCUUCCUCAUCUUUUAGCAAGUCUUACCUAUUCAUAGAGUUUGAAGUCUUUAUAACAGUAAGAUGCCACAAAAAAGGAAAAUCAAAAUACUAUUGAAUCCAAAAUCACUUUUUUGAAAGCAGUUGCACUUGUGCAUUCAUACUCUUGUUGGAAGCUUCCAUUAUUUAAAGCUUACAUAAAAGUAUCACUUUGUGACAAAUGCUUAUUGUAGAAUAAAUCUAUUGUUUUUAUUAAUGUUAUUGAUAUC
rnacentral:lncRNA from 1 species